rnacentral:rRNA from 1 species
UACGAAGGGGGCUAGCGUUGCUCGGAAUCACUGGGCGUAAAGGGUUCGUAGGCGGGUCUUUAAGUCAGGGGGGAAAUCCUGGAGCUCAACUCCAGAACUGCCUUUGAUACUGAAGAUCUUGAGUUCGGGAGAGGUGAGUGGAACUGCGAGUGUAGAGGUGAAAUUCGUAGAUAUUCGCAAGAACACCAGUGGCGAAGGCGGCUCACUGGCCCGAUACUGACGCUGAGGCACGAAAGCGUGGGGAGCAAACAGG